UACGUAGGGUGCGAGCGUUGUCCGGAUUUAUUGGGCGUAAAGGGCUCGUAGGCGGCCUGUCGCGUCGGGAGUGAAAGCCCACUGCUUAACGGUGGGUCUGCUUUCGGUACGGGCGGGCUGGAGUAUGGCAGGGGAGACUGGAAUUCCUGGUGUAGCGGUGAAAUGCGCAGAUAUCAGGAGGAACACCGGUGGCGAAGGCGGAUCUCUGGGCCGAUACUGACGCUGAGGAGCGAAAGCGUGGGGAGCAAACAGG
rnacentral:rRNA from 1 species